rnacentral:rRNA from 1 species
AGAGUUUGAUCCUGGCUCAGAUUGAACGCUGGCGGCAUGCUUUACACAUGCAAGUCGAACGGUAACGCGGGGGCAACCCUGGCGACGAGUGGCGAACGGGUGAGUAAUACAUCGGAACAUAUCCAGUAGCGGGGGAUAACCUAUCGAAAGAUGGACUAAUACCGCAUACGAUCUACGGAUGAAAGCAGGGGACCGCAAGGCCUUGCACUAUUGGAGUGGCCGAUGUCGGAUUAGCUAGUUGGUGAGGUAAAGGCUUACCAAGGCGACGAUCCGUAGCUGGUCUGAGAGGACGAUCAGCCACACUGGAACUGAGACACGGUCCAGACUCCUACGGGAGGCAGCAGUGGGGAAUUUUGGACAAUGGGCGCAAGCCUGAUCCAGCCAUGCCGCGUGAGUGAAGAAGGCCUUCGGGUUGUAAAGCUCUUUCGGUGAAGACGAAACGGUUCGUGCUAAUAACGCGGACUAAUGACGGUACUCACAGAAGAAGCACCGGCUAACUACGUGCCAGCAGCCGCGGUAAUACGUAGGGUGCAGGCGUUAAUCGGAAUUACUGGGCGUAAAGCGUGCGCAGGCGGUUUGCUAAGACAGGUGUGAAAUCCCCGGGCUUAACCUGGGAAUUGCGCUUGUAACUGGCAAGCUAGAGUGUAGCAGAGGGGGGUGGAAUUCCACGUGUAGCAGUGAAAUGCGUAGAUAUGUGGAGGAACACCGAUGGCUAAGGCAGCCCCCUGGGUUAACACUGACGCUCAUGCACGAAAGCGUGGGGAGCAAACAGGAUUAGAUACCCUGGUAGUCCACGCCCUAAACUAUGUCAACUAGUUGUCGGGGAAGAAAUUCCUUGGUAACGAAGCUAACGCGUGAAGUUGACCGCCUGGGGAGUACGGCCGCAAGGUUAAAACUCAAAGGAAUUGACGGGGACCCGCACAAGCGGUGGAUUAUGUGGAUUAAUUCGAUGCAACGCGAAAAACCUUACCUACCCUUGACAUGCUAGGAAGCCCGCAGAGAUGUGGGUGUGCCCGAAAGGGAACCUAGACACAGGUGCUGCAUGGCUGUCGUCAGCUCGUGUCGUGAGAUGUUGGGUUAAGUCCCGCAACGAGCGCAACCCUUGCCAUUAGUUGCUACAUUCAGUUGGGCACUCUAAUGGGACCGCCGGUGACAAACCGGAGGAAGGUGGGGAUGACGUCAAGUCCUCAUGGCCCUUAUGGGUAGGGCUUCACACGUAAUACAAUGGUCGGUACAGAGGGCUGCCAACCCGCAAGGGGGAGCUAAUCCCAGAAAGCCGAUCGUAGUCCGGAUUGUAGUCUGCAACUCGACUGCAUGAAGCCGGAAUCGCUAGUAAUCGCGGAUCAGCAUGUCGCGGUGAAUACGUUCCCGGGUCUUGUACACACCGCCCGUCACACCAUGGGAGUGGGUUCCACCAGAAGUAGUUAGCCUAACCGCAAGGAGGGCGAUUACACGGUGAGAUUCAUGACUGGGGUGAAGUCGAAACAAGGUAGCCGUAUCGGAAGGUGCGGCUG